rnacentral:rRNA from 1 species
CAAUAGCGUAUAUUAAAGUUGUUGCAGUUAAAAAGCUCGUAGUUGAAUUUCGGGUCCCCGCGCUCGGCGCUUCAUUGUGCCGUCGUGGUGUCCCUCCUCGCCGUAAGGCGUCCUUUACUGUGAAAAAAUUAGAGUGUUCAAAGCAGGCAAUCGCUUGAAUACAUUAGCAUGGAAUAAUAAGAUAGGAUCUUGUCUAUUUUGUUGGUUGCGGACAACGAUAAUGAUUAAUAGGGAUAGUUGGGGGUGUCCGUAUUGAGCUGUCAGAGGUGAAAUUCUUGGAUUUGCUCAAGACGAACUACUGCGAAAGCAUUCACCAAGGAUGUUUUCAUUAG